UACGGGGGGGGCAAGCGUUGUUCGGAAUUACUGGGCGUAAAGGGCUCGUAGGCGGCCAACUAAGUCGGAUGUGAAAUCCCCAGGCUUAACCUGGGAACUGCAUCCGAUACUGGAUGGCUUGAAUCCGGGAGAGGGAUGCAGAAUUCCAGGUGUAGCGGUGAAAUGCGUAGAGAUCGGCAGGAACACCCAGGGGGAAACCAGUGGACUGGGCAUGAGCUGACGCUCAGGUGCGAAAGCGUGGGGAGCGAACCGG
rnacentral:rRNA from 1 species